GUGUGCAGAUGUGAAUACAUCCACCAUGGAUUGAAUCUGAAUUCUCAAUUUAUGCACGCAAGGGAAUGUGUUUGGUAGGAAGGUAAUUUUUUAGAUGUGUUAAUAUAUACCCAUCUCGUGAGAAAUGUAGAUGUCCGUACAAAAGUCUGCUCAGUCUUAUUAUGUGUCUGGUGGUAUGUGUACCUGGAUGAGUUAUUCCUCGUAUUAGAAAAGCACAGGAAGUCAUAAAAUAUACCGACAGAAGAAGACCGUACGUUCCUGAAACAGAAUAGUCAUUUCUCUGUUAGCCAGGUUUCGUCGGUUCCAUUAUAUGUAAGCAAGAGAUGGAUUAGGAAAUCACAUCUACGAUCUAUAUAAAUGGCCGAAACUCAAGGAAAUUAGGUAACUUGUGUGUGCAGGAAAAAAACAGCCCUCACACACGUGAGUGAUACUCAAUAAAAACCUUUUUUAAGCAAAAUUACUCACUUCAGUAAGCAUUUCUUUAAACACGAUUUAUCAUGCAUACUUUUACGAAGUUAACGGGCAACUCAUACAACUAGAGCUUUUUAUAUUAUGAGAAUUGCAUUUAUUGUGUGUGGUUGUUAAUUGAUAACAAAAUGAUAGAUCAUUUUUUUCGAACCAUGCAUGAGGACUGCAUGUAAAUAUAUAGAUAGAAAGAGGAGUACAACCGGCAAAAUCAGGCACAUGUACAAAUACAGCACAAGCCAAAACAAGCAGAGAGAAAAGGAGAGGAAACUCUAGGAACAAAAACAAACUAAUCAAACUCCGCUAUAUCAGGCACAGCCAUCCCAUUUUUGCUUGCAGUGUCCCAUAUUUUAGCCUCCGUUUUGAUCUUGUCAAGAAGCCGCUGAAUCGGAGUGUGUGGCUUAUUUAUCAAAAAUCUACUGUUCUGUUCUCUCCAAAUCGACCAAACGACCAACAUAACUACAGAGUUCACAGUUUUUUCUUUAGCACCUUCCAUCCUUAGCCUUGCUCGACUCCUCCACUCUCCAAGAUCAGAGCCAACAGUAGAUCGAUAUUAAUGAGAUAUAACAUAUAAACUUGAUUCUGAGUAUUACCUUAGCAGAUUCAUUUACUUUUUUGUGAAAACCUUUAUAUUUUAUAACAUAUACUGUUUGAUAUUAAUAAGGAGAUAUCACAUCAGUAUUAACUUUUCUUCGAAUCUUAAAAGCCUUGUCUGAUGUAUGCAAUCUUGAAAACUUAUAUAUUUUGAGGAAAAAAGUAAUAUUGUCGCACACUUGUUGGCGGAGUGUAUAGAGUUGUGCGGGUGAAAAUACAUCCACCAUGGAUUGAAUCUGAAUGCUCAAUUUAUGCACGCAUGGGAAUGUGUUUGGUAGGAAGGUAAUUUCUGAGAUGUGUUAAUAAAUACCAACUCAUGAAAAAUGUAGAUGUCCAUACAAAAGUAUGUUCAGUCUUAUUAUGCAUGUGGUGAUAUGUGUACGUGGAUGAGUUAUUCCUUGUAUUAGAAAAGCACAGGACGCGGUCAUAAAAUAUACCGACAAAUGAUCGUUCCUUCUCGUAAAAGAUCUAAUCGACUCAAGGAACAGGUAAAUAUUGUGGUCACUGGGAGAAGGGUUCCUCGUUGUUAUUGGCCGUGGAGCUCAUUGUACACUAUAUAUGGGCAUAAAUGACGAUUAUAGCUCAAUAGUUCUACAUCCCUUAUGCUAUUGAAGCAAUCGCCCUUGAUCUAUCAAAGAUAGUUUUCCAUAUGACAUAUGCAACAUGUUGUGUUGUACCACAUCUAGAAUUUCUAAGUCAAAACCAAUAACAUAUACCUAGAUAUUAUGCAUGUUCGAUCUCCGAGACAACAUAUUUUGAUGCUUUGUCGUAAUCAUUAUAUUAUGUAAUUUCCUAAAUUAAUAGUGUAAUUAAUUGCCACCCAGUAUUCCGUUAUUACAGUUAGCAAUAUUGUCAUCUCAAGUUGGUAUUGCUAGAGUAAUAUGUGUAAGUUCUAAAGUUCACUUUUUAGGAGUUAGGUUGCUAUUGAAGUGAAAUUUUCUAGGUGGUGUUAGAGAAGUAUCUUGACAACUGGUUAGGAUUAACAUGACAUUUAUUGGAUAUCUAAUGAAGGCGCAUUAUGUCAGUAAUUGCUUCUAGAGGUAGUUUGGGUUCGCAGACCAUCUAUUUUAGUAACUAUGUUCGGGGCCGCCACCACGUGGAUCCUCCCACCACGUCUCCGGGGCCACCGCCCCGAAAUCCUGCACCUUUGCCCCCAUCGAAAGGAUCAGUCCCCUCAAAGCCACGCCGCGAGCUCCAACAUCCGUCUGCACCUGAGCGUCGCCACUAGGAUCUGCAUAAGCAUGAGAAGUUGAUGUCCGCGAACUCACAUGCCUGAAGAAAUGUCAUGACAACAAACUCCGCGAGCGUGACCUUCAGGUUGGGCGGCAACUCCAAACGCCUCCCCCACGGAAUUUACAGACAUUUUAGGACUCGGGAGUGUUUUGUAGCCUGGGAAUCAAAUUGGCUUCCUCGCGCGUGUGUGUUGCUUGCUCUGUUGUGUAGUUGUGCAAGACGAAGGUCUGGUGACUAGUCUGAUUGGGUAUGUGCAUGCUAUCAUGCAUGGGGCAUGUGGAGAGUUGAUUGUUGUUCUUGGAACAUGUUUGUCAUGUGCAUGUAGUGGUCGUGUCAAUACAUUUUGCGCAGGAAAUAUUUGUUGGAUUGUAAUUCAGAACUGCUCUUGCUUGCUAAAUACAUUUCUGGAAUAUCAAUUUUGUAAGAUAAUUGACUUACUUAUUAUUAUUUUCAGGUCACCAUUGGUAUAAGGAUUUUGCAUCAGUUCCAAGAGGCAUGUUUGUCGAGCUAAAAGGAUCUAUUGCUAGAAUUUCUCUAAUAUUUUGGACAUUUUAAUAUAUAUCUGCUGAAUUAGUACCCUUGUUGGGUGGAGUACAUUCACCGAAACCCGGUGUUAUAUUUAGUGCUUUUGGCUAUGAUGUAAUUGUAGACUGCAGGAUGGAUUGUUAUGCUUUUGGUUGUGAUCUAGUAUUGAGCUUUUGAAUGUACAAAUUUACACCUAUGAUCGAUUGCUGAGAUAUAUAUUAUGUCCUAGUAGAUGCAACUUUAAUUACUCUGCAUGUGUGUUGUAGAUUAUGAACAUAAGUGACGAUCAGUACCUCUAUAGUUCUAUAUCCCUUUUCUAUUGAAACCGUCACACAUUUGUAGCACA
rnacentral:lncRNA from 1 species